rnacentral:rRNA from 1 species
AGUGGGAAACGAUGUGGGAAGGCCCAGACAGCCAGGAUGUUGGCUUAGAAGCAGCCAUCAUUUAAAGAAAGCGUAAUAGCUCACUGGUCGAGUCGGCCUGCGCGGAAGAUGUAACGGGGCUAAACCAUGCACCGAAGCUGCGGCAGCGACRCUGUGUGUUGUUGGGUAGGGGAGCGUUCUGUAAGCCUGUGAAGGUGUGUCGUGAGGCAUGCUGGAGGUAUCAGAAGUGCGAAUGCUGACAUAAGUAACGAUAAAGCGGGUGAAAAGCCCGCUCGCCGGAAGACCAAGGGUUCCUGUCCAACGUUAAUCGGGGCAGGGUGAGUCGACCCCUAAGGCGAGGCCGAAAGGCGUAGUCGAU